UACGUAGGGUGCGAGCGUUAAUCGGAAUUACUGGGCGUAAAGCGUGCGCAGGCGGUUUUGUAAGCCAGAUGUGAAAUCCCCGGGCUUAACCUGGGAAUGGCAUUUGGGGACUGCAAGGCUUGAGUGCGGCAGAGGAGACUGGAAUUCCUGGUGUAGCAGUGAAAUGCGUAGAUAUCAGGAGGAACACCGAUGGCGAAGGCAGGUCUCUGGGCUGACACUGACGCUCAUGCACGAA
rnacentral:rRNA from 1 species